rnacentral:rRNA from 1 species
AACUAUAACGGUCCUAAGGUAGCGAAAUUCCUUGUCAGGUAAGUUCUGACCCGCACGAAAGGCGUAACGAUUUGGGCGCUGUCUCAGCUGUAGACUCGGUGAAGUCUUAGUACCUGUGAAGAUGCAGGUUACCCGCGACUAGACGGAAAGACCCCAUGGAGCUUCACUGCAGGUUGAUAUUGGGAUUUGAUGCAGCAUGUACAGGAUAGGUAGGAGGCAAAGAGAUGGAUACGCCAGUAUUCAAGGAGCCGCUGUUGGGAUACUACCCCUGUUGUAUUGGAUUUCUAACCGGACGACGUAGAGCCGUUGACGGGACAGUGUCAGUCGGGCAGUUUGACUGGGGCGGUCGCCUCCCAAAGAGUAACGGAGGCGCCCAAAGAUACCCUCAGCUUGGAUGGAAACCAAGCGCAGAGUGCAAAGGCAAAAGGGUGUUUGACUGCGAGACCCACAAGUCGAGCAGGGACGAAAGUCGGGCUUAGUGAUCCGGCGGUGCUGAAUGGAAAGGCCGUCGCUCAACGGAUAAAAGCUACCCUGGGGAUAACAGGCUGAUCUCCCCCAAGAGUCCACAUCGACGGGGAGGUUUGGCACCUCGAUGUCGGCUCAUCGCAUCCUGGGGCUGAAUUCGGUCCCAAGGGUUUGGCUGUUCGCCAAUUAAAGCGGUACGCGAGCUGGGUUCAGAACGUCGUGAGACAGUUCGGUCCCUAUCUGUCGUGGGCGCAGGAAAUUUGAGAAGAGCUGUCCUCAGUACGAGAGGACCGGGAUGGACGCAUCAAUGGUGGACCAGUUGUCACGCCAGUGGCAUAGCUGGGUAGCUAAAUGCGGAAGGGAUAAACGCUGAAGGCAUCUAAGUGUGAAACCCACUUCAAGAUGAGAUUUCCCAUUGCGCAAGCAAGUAAGACCCCUUAAAGACGAUAAGGUAGAUAGGUCAGGAGUGUAAGCAUGGUGACAUGUUAAGCGGACUGAUACUAAUAGGUCGAGGGCUUGACCGA